rnacentral:rRNA from 1 species
GAUGAACGCUGGCGGCGUGCCUAAUACAUGCAAGUCGAGCGAACAGACGAGGAGCUUGCUCCUCUGACGUUAGCGGCGGACGGGUGAGUAACACGUGGAUAACCUACCUAUAAGACUGGGAUAACUUCGGGAAACCGGAGCUAAUACCGGAUAAUAUAUUGAACCGCAUGGUUCAAUAGUGAAAGACGGUUUUGCUGUCACUUAUAGAUGGAUCCGCGCCGCAUUAGCUAGUUGGUAAGGUAACGGCUUACCAAGGCAACGAUGCGUAGCCGACCUGAGAGGGUGAUCGGCCACACUGGAACUGAGCCACGGUCCAGACUCCUACGGGAGGCAGCAGUAGGGAAUCUUCCGCAAUGGGAGAAAGCUUGACGGAGCAACGCCGCGUGAGUGAUGAAGGUCUUCGGAUCGUAAAACUCUGUUAUUAGGGAAGAACAAAUGUGUAAGUAACUAUGCACGUCUUGACGGUACCUAAUCAGAAAGCCACGGCUAACUACGUG